rnacentral:misc_RNA from 1 species
UUAAGUUCAGCGGGUAUUCCUACCUGAUUCGAGGUCAACCUUCUGUAAGGGGGGGUUCUUUUACGGCAGGAGGGCCGGCCCGGCCGUAGGCGAGAUGGAGAAAAUCUACUACGCCUAGAGCGCGAACCGGCUCCGCCACUGGAUUUGAGGAGCGACGGCGGGACGCCGUGGGCUCCCAACGCUAAGCAACAGGGGCUUAA